rnacentral:lncRNA from 1 species
GGACUUCGUCAGGAGGAGUAGGGGAACGCGCCAUAUUGUAGGAAUUCUCCAGAGCACGCUGCCUCAGAUGAUCAGCAUCAGAGGGCUUGGAGGCAGCUGCGUAAACCUUGGAGCCCGUUUCGUUUUGCCCAACACGUUCAGGGACACCUCCAGGGUUGUGUAUAUAAAAAUCUGUAAGGAAUAAAAACAGAGUUAGAAAAUAUAUAUGUGUAUAAAAAACAUAAAAAGAAAAACAGGCAAAGGAAGACCUUGUCGGUUAAAAGUAUCUUCAAUCGCGUGACCGACAGGCACAGCGAUAGGAUGCAAAAAGGCCAGCUU